CUGGGAAGCAAAGUAGACCAUGAGAGAAAAGAAGCAGGAGAUUUUAAUAGCUUAUACAUGGUGAUUGUAGAAGGAAGAAACUGUUUCUUUGAUGUGCACAGAACUAAACUUGCAGGUGAUAAAUAUCUCUGAAAAAAGGAUUCAGUCAGAAAACAAGUGACGUGGGACUAUCAAAAAGAAAUCCAGAAAAAGUGAAAUUGGUGCAAUUACGAGAAGAGGAA
rnacentral:lncRNA from 1 species